GAUGAACGCUGGCGGCGUGCUUAACACAUGCAAGUCGAACGGGAAACAUUUUAUUGAAGCUUCGGCAGAUUUAGUUUGUUUCUAGUGGCGGACGGGUGAGUAACGCGUGGGUAACCUGCCUCACACUGGGGGAUAACAGUCAGAAAUGACUGCUAAUACCGCAUAAGCGCACGGGAUUGCAUGAUCCAGUGUGAAAAACUCCGGUGGUGUGAGAUGGACCCGCGUUGGAUUAGCCAGUUGGCAGGGUAACGGCCUACCAAAGCGACGAUCCAUAGCCGGCCUGAGAGGGUGGACGGCCACAUUGGGACUGAGACACGGCCCAGACUCCUACGGGAGGCAGCAGUGGGGAAUAUUGCACAAUGGGGGAAACCCUGAUGCAGCGACGCCGCGUGAAGGAAGAAGUAUCUCGGUAUGUAAACUUCUAUCAGCAGGGAAGAAAAUGACGG
rnacentral:rRNA from 1 species